GACGAACCGUGCAAACGUUAUUCGGAAUCACUGGGCAUAAAGGGCGCGUAGGCGGCUCCAAAAGUCAGGGGUGAAAUCCGGCAGCUUAACUGUCGCAGUGCCUUUGAUACUGUGGAGCUAGAGGGAGAUAGGGGCAUGCGGAACUUCCGGUGGAGCGGUGAAAUGCGUAGAUAUCGGAAGGAACGCCGGUGGCGAAAGCGGCGUGCUGGAUCUCUUCUGACGCUGAGGCGCGAAAGCCAGGGGAGCAAAGCGGG
rnacentral:rRNA from 1 species